GACGAACGCUGGCGGCGUGCCUAACACAUGCAAGUUGAGCGACGAACCAGGGCUUGCCCUGGGGCAAAGCAGCGAACGGGUGAGUAACACGUGGGUAACCUACCCCGAUAACCGGGACAACCCGAGGAAACUCGGGCUAAUACCGGAUGUGCUCACUGGACUUCGGUUCAGUGCGUAAAGGAAGCUUCGGCCUCCGUAUCGGGAGGGGCCCGCGGCCCAUUAGUUUGUUGGUGAGGUAACGGCUCACCAAGACCGCGAUGGGUAGCUGGUCUGAGAGGACGAUCAGCCACACUGGGACUGAGACACGGCCCAGACUCCUACGGGAGGCAGCAGUGGGGAAUCUUGCGCAAUGCGCGAAAGCGUGACGCAGCAACGCCGCGUGGGGGAAGAAGGCCUUCGGGUUGUAAAACCCUUUCAGGAGGGACGAAGGUUAGGCGGUGAAUAGCCGUCCGGACUGACGGUACCUCCACAAGAAGCCCCGGCUAACUACGUG
rnacentral:rRNA from 1 species